rfam:Picea glauca, whole genome shotgun sequence.
ACAUGCCCAUAGCAUAGCGUUAAUGCACCAGAUCACAUUAGAACUCUGUAGUUAAGCACACUCAGGCUAGAGUAGUAUUGGGAUGGGUGACCGCUCAAGAAGGCCUGGUGUUUUACAUGCC